UACGUAGGGUGCGAGCGUUGUCCGGAAUUAUUGGGCGUAAAGAGCUCGUAGGCGGUGUGUCACGUCGGACCGGUGAAACCUGCAGCUUAACUGUGGGCGUGCGGUCGAUACGGGCAUCACUGGAGUUCGGCAGGGGAGACUGGAAUUCCUGGUGUAGCGGUGAAAUGCGCAGAUAUCAGGAGGAACACCGAGUGGCGAAGGCGGGUCUCUGGGC
rnacentral:rRNA from 1 species